UACUGGGCGUAAAGGGUGUGUAGGCGGUUUGCCAAGUUUGUCGUGAAAUCUCCCGGCUUAACUGGGAGGGUGCGGCGAAAACUGGCAGGCUGGAGUAUGGGAGAGGAAAGCGGAAUUCCUGGUGUAGCGGUGAAAUGCGUAGAUAUCAGGAGGAACACCUGCGGUGUAGACGGCUUUCUGGACCAUCACUGACGCUGAGACACGAAAGCGUGGGUAGCAAACAGGAUUAGAUACCCUGGUAGUCCACGCUGUAAACGAUGGUCACUAGACGUUGAUUUCGCUUGUCGAUUUCAGUGUCGUAGCUAACGCGAUAAGUGACCCGCCUGAGAACUACGGUCGCAAGAUUAAAACUCAAAGGAAUUGACGGGGGUCCGCACAAGCGGUGGAACAUGUGGUUUAAUUCGACACUACGCGAGGAACCUUACCUGGGUUUGACAUGCUUAUGAUCGCUGUAGAGAUACAGUUUUCUAGGGGUAACUCUAGACAUUUGCACAGGUGCUGCAUGGCUGUCGUCAGCUCGUGUCGUGAGAUGUUGGGUUAAGUCCUAUAACGAGCGCAACCCCUGCUAUCAGUUGCUACCUAACGGAGCACUCUGAUGGGACUGCCUGGGAAACCAGGAGGAAGGUGGGGAUGAUGUCAAGUCCGCAUGGUCCUUAUGCCCAGGGCCACACACGUGUUACAAUGGUCGGUACAAAGGGUUGCCAAACCGUAAGGUGGAGCUAAUCUCAUAAAGCCGAUCUAAGUUCGGAUUGAGGUCUGCAACUCGACCUCAUGAAGUUGAAAUCGCUAGUAAUCGUGUAUCAGAACGG
rnacentral:rRNA from 1 species